CGUAGGUGAACCUGCGGAAGGAUCAUU
rnacentral:ncRNA from 21 species